ensembl:lncRNA
GAGGCUGGUUGGGUUGUUGGCUUAGAAAGCAGUUACAGAUGACGCGGUUAUUGCAAGAACUCCUAAAAAAUAUUAGAAGUUAUGAUAACACGAAAAAAAGAAGAAUAGUUAGAUGGAUGCAGAAAUGGGGUAUCCUGAAAAGUAGGAUGCAGUGUCCAAAAUGCAAUCGAAGCAUGCGCCUGGAAAAAUGCGAUCUCAGCGAUGGGUUACGAUGGGUCUGUAAGCAUCACAAAAGUUCACCACUCUCUGUGCGCAAUGGCUCAAUAUUCACCAAUUCUCACACCCCUUUGGUGAAAUGGCUUGAGUUUAUGUACAGGUACAGUAUUUAUUUAUUUGACAAGUAAAGUGCACAAAAAUAAUAAAUACUGUAAAUGUGUCA